rnacentral:lncRNA from 1 species
UUUUUGUUUUCAAGGCAUGGAAACUGUGGACGGAAGAGAGGGCAUUGGAGCUUCUUGACAAUAUGUCAGAUCGCCCGUAUUCUGUAUCUGAAGUAUUGAGAUGCAUUCAUGUGGGUCUGCUAUGCGUGCAACAAAAGCCGGAAGACAGACCAAAUAUGUCAUCUGUGGUUUUGAUGUUGGGCAGUGAGAAUUCAUUGCCUGACCCAAAGCAACCUGGUUUUUUCACGGAAAGGAAUAUGCCCGCAGUGGACUCUUCAUCAGGAAAUCAUGAAUCAUCGUCUAUAAAUGACCUAACUAUUUCAGAGCUAGAUGCACGGUAGAAGAUUGGCUCUGAUGGUUAAAAGGAAGAGCUAUAUAUAUAUAUAUAUAUGUAUGUAUAUUCUAGCCAAAUCCAAGGCAUAUAACAGAAAUUAAAUAUUUUCUGCUAUAAUUAUGUUGAUGUAUUAUUUUUACCUGUCUACAAGUCCUCUGCAAGUACUAGUGCGAAUACAGAUAGACAGAAUGCUUGAGGAUUCACAUCUCUGGACUGCACAAUAUCUGUACUUGUUUGCUUCGAGCCGUCGAAUUUAAUGCACGGAUCUGGGUUCAAGAUCUAUAUAUGCUAGAGCCUCACUGGCUUCUAACCCAAAAAGAAUCCAUUAGAAUUGUCAAUAUAUAAUUAGUAAAAAAAAAUUACAUACAAUUUAAACAAUCCAAAUUUAUAAUUCAAAUUUACAUUAUAUUUUUCAUAACAUGUUAAAAAAAUAUAUUUUUAACAACCAUACAAGGAGCUAUAGUCUUUCCUUGAUUGAUUUCAUAGCACCUUAAACUUAGCCUUGACCUAACCCUUUUAGGGAUAAAUAUUAUAGGUACGAGUACCUUGAUGAUACUUAGCCUUUGUAGGGGAAUCCGACCGGUGAUGUUUUGAUAUUUGCUCAUAGUAGGCUAAGCACACUAACACAAUAUUUAACGUGGUUCGACAAACCGCCUACAUCCACGGGAGAAACCAUUUGAUUAUAUAGGGAGAGAACAAGAUUUACAACAGUAGAGGAGGAGGAAUCAUCCCCUCUUUGGCAACUCUCAACCUCACUCUAUUUUUCUCUUCUCAAUGCUGCAUUGGCAGCUACUGCUGGCUGCCUUGGCAGCCCACUCUCUCUUACAUUUCUCUCAUAUUUGGCUCUACUUUCACUCUCAUUUUGCUCUCUAAAAUCAUGCCUCUUUUAUAGGCAUCAAUGGCAGCUCCUCUUGCUCCUUUGUCAGCAAUGGUGGCUUCCAAACUUACCAAACUUUGACAAUAGACAAUGGUUGUUGGCUGCCACCAACAACCCACCAUUAUAGCCUCAUUCUUUGACUCUCACAUAGCAGUCAUCUUCUUUGACAUAGGCAGCCACAUAAUUGGCAAUAUUCCAACAAUCACCCCCUUUGCCAUUUAUGUGGGGCAACUAUCCUCUUGCUUCUUCAGCACAUGCUUGCAUCUUGCAGCUUUUCCAAGCUUACCAUUCAACCAGAUGGUUUGUCACAUCUCAUCUGAAGAGUGUUUAAUGCUUGUCUCUGGAACAACAUUCCCCUUCAAGCAUAUCAACCAUGCUUGGCCUGGAAUGAUUUAUCAAGCCUUACAUCAAGGCUUACAACACCCCCUCAAACUGAUAUUCCCAAGUGCGAUAGUCAUUGAGUAUUUUAAUGUGAUCACGAGCUCACCACUCUUCCAAGAGCCUACUCAUCCAGGAGUUGCGUCUGCCCUCUAUUCCACCCUAGGAACCACGCCUUACUUCUCCGUGAGUCUCUCACUCUUAGUCUCAAGAGUCCGGGUAGCAUCCACCUUUACUUAUGGGGGCAGCCCAUUAAAGGUUGAUCCAUAUCUAUCUUCAUACUCUGAGUAUUACAAUGCUUUCACCGAGCUCACCACCUUGACAAGAGUCAACUUGUUCCCGGAACCUGCGCAUGCCCUCUGCUCCUUCAUAGCAGUCGCGUCUUAAUGCUCCACAAGUCACCCACUUAUUGUCCAAGGUAAAUGUCUUCUAGCUCAUUGAUCUUUAGCAUGGGGGCAAUAUCCAUGAAAGUCAAUCCUGCAUUUGUCUUCAUACUCAUCAUAGACUCUUCAUUGGCUAUACACUUGUCCACUUAUAUCCAGCCAUCAUAUUGGCUCUAGGGCUGGGCUCUUUUCAUGGCCCUCACACCUUCUCGUGAGGUGUCUCCGCUCGUCGUCAUGCGAUAGUCUGAAUCUGGGCUAAUAUUAUAGCCCUCACACCGUCCAUCCGAGGUGUCUCCGUUCAUCGUCAUGCGGCUUCAUGUCCCUCACACCUUCUCCGAAGGUGUCUUCGCCCGUUGUCAUGGGGCAGUCUGAUCUUGGGCUCAUAUCAUGGCCCUCACACCUUCUGUCUGAGGUGUCUCCGCCUAUCGUUAUGAGACGGCCUGAACAUGGACUCAUAUCAAGGUCCUCACACCUUCUGUCCAAGGUAUCUCCGCCUGUCGUCAUGAGACGGUCUGAACAUGGACCCAUAUCAUGGUCCUAACACCUUUCGUCUGAGGUGUCUCCGCCUGUUGUCAUGAGACGGUCUGAAUCUGGGCUCAUAUUAUAGCCCUCACACCUUCCAUCCGAAGUGUCUCCGCUCAUCGUGGAGCGGUCUGAAUCUAGGUUCAUAUCAUGGCCCACAAACCUUCCUCUAAGGUGUCUCUGCCCGUUGUCAUGGGACAGUCUGAUCUUGGACCCAUAUCAUGGUCCUCACACCUUCUGUCUAAGGUGUCUCUGCCUGUUGUCAUGAGACGGCCACAUCCUCCUUCAUCGGGGAUGUCUCUAGUGGCUCUAAGAUUCUCUACCACCAUGUGGACUUGGGAGAGAUUACUGCCACUGAUUACAUAGAAAGAUAAAGUUGUGGCAUACUCCUCGCAAUCCUCCACCUCGAUUUCUAUGUCUGGAGCUUCUACGCCUUUCUACUUGAUAGCUCCACCUACACCACUCUCUUUAGUGUCUUCGCCUUUCAUCAUAGGCGGUCACCUUUGUCACAGGCGUUUGCACCCCCUCAAUUAGGUGCCUCUGCAACAGCUCAUCUUUCCAUCAUUGCAUGCAUUGGAAAGGUCCUCGCUUGUUGCCUUCAUCAAGAGCACAAGAGAUUUCUUGUUGUAUAACUUUUUCACACCGUCUCUACUCUAAGCUUCAUCUGGGAACUCUUAUUCUCCUUGCACCUACUGUCUCAUUACAGUACCUCGUUGGAUCCUACGGGUACUCCUGCACAAUCUCCGUGUGCUCUCGUGCAAUUCCGGUUCUCUAGAUUUCUCCCUAUUUUUUGCUUUUAUGUUUGACAACAGCUCAUCCUGUCACAACAUUUAUCCAAGUCAAAAUAGGGUGCCAAUCUUUAUCCCCUUGUUGUAUUUCUCUUCCAUUAUCAGGGUCUUCAUUAAUUCUCCCUUCGAGAAAUUACAGUCACCGAAUCUAACUUCUUUGGAGAAAUCACCACUCCAUUAGAUCCUUGAACAUACGGAACCCAACUGUUCCUUUAUGUCGUCAUCUUGCUAGUCUUCAACAGUUUCAUUACAAACUGUUACAUAUACAAAAAUAGUACUGUGUGGAUGAUCCUUCAACUAAGCAAGUUCCCAGGAAAGAUUUGGAGGGGUCACACUGGUCCCGUGAUUAGUACUUAAAAGUGCAUGUUUAUCAAGGUUUUAUAUCAUCAUUUUGCACUUGAAGUAUCAAUAACUCCUUAACUAAAGCAUGUUUUAUAAUAACAAGUUUGAUACUAUAAGAUACCUUAAUUUAUGGUAAAUGCUCAUCUUAUAUGCAGGCCUAUCACAUAAAUAAAAUGAUUGAUUGAUGAGUUUAAGUAUUGAAAGUGAAAGGACAAAGAGAUGGCCAAACUUAGAAAAGAGAUGUCGGUGCAGUCCAAACCAGAACAUUGCUCGGUAAUUGGAUCAUAUUUGGAGCUCUAGAUCUCAGAUUUAGGUCCAUUUUAUAUGGAUGGAAAGGUAAUACAAAGGCCUACAACUUUCAUGAGGAGCCUAAGAUUUAAAAAGGUCGUUUUGAAGUCCAAAUUGAAGGAACAACGAAGAAGUCCGAAGCUGUCCUGCAGCCCAGACACUAUUUAGUGUUCAACCCAUAUCUUGAGUUCUAGAAGUCCAAAUGACCUCAUCUUUUUUUUUUUGGAAAGCUGAGACAAUUUCCUAGAACAUUCCUGAGGAUUCUGGGCAAAUUAUUAUGUUAGAAAUGACGUUUUGUUCAGACAAGAAGAUAAGGAUUGUCACCAAGUCAAGAUGUGGCCACCCACUCAUCAAUUAGUCAACAAAUCAAUAGUUCUAAAUUUUGGCCUAUAAAAGGAGGCACUUACCAUGUAUUGAGGCAUCUUGGUUUCCAGAUCAAGAUCAUGCUCUUGCUUUCUCUCUUUGUAUUGCUUAUGUCUUGCUUUCAUUAAUAUCAAGUUUAUGCACUUCAUUUUCUUUCCUUUACUUAGUUAACUUCUUUCUCAUUUAUGUUCUUAUCUUGUUCAUUUAUGUUUCUUUCUUUCAUUAUGUUCAGCUAAGUUAAUUAUGUCAAGGUGAAAAGGGUACACUAAUGGUGUAAGAAUAAGUAUAAUAUAAACUUAACAUGGACCUUAACGUUGGAUACUAACAUGUUUUAUAUUUGUUAUCUUGUUCACUUUUAAUACUUUGCUUGUUAAAUGGUUAAUCUAGAUUUAUGUUAUAUAACAUUUGGUACAACAAAUACUUGGUACUUUCAUAGCCCAUACUGUAUGGUAUAACCGACACCUGAGCUAUAAAAGGAACUUGAUUUGUUGUUAACAUAAGUUAUAAUCAUGAAUGCCUGCCAACAUUUACAAGUAUUAGCUUUAUUCGAAUAAGAUAACUAAUGUAAUCAUGUUAACAAUUUAUAAUCUGAUUGGAACCUCCUUUAUGUGUGGUUUCCAAUUGAGUAAUAAGAGUUUAUACUAUACUUGUUUGAAAUACCAUUAGUGGAUCCUCUAACCUUGACAUUUGUUGUUGUUAUUGUUUAAUCCUUACGUUAAUCUUUCAUCUCAAAGUUCUCAUUAAUUUCUUCAUCUUCUGCUUUUAUUAUUAUUAUUAUUAUUAUUAUUAUUAUUAUUAUUUACAUUCUGUUUAUAUUAUAUAAUAUAUAUCUUUGAUCUUUUCAUAAACUCAGUAUAUAGGCUGGAAACCUGUGACCCGAUCUUUUAGAUUAUUCUCAGGUAUAACAACGCCACGUACUAAGUAUUAUAAUUAUUAUUGUUGUUAUUAUUGUUGUUGUUGUUAUUGUUGUUGUAUUGUUAUUUAUAAUUUAUACAAUUAAUCUCUAUGUGGUUCGACCCCGGUUUUGCCGGGUUAUUUAUUACUUCGACACUCCUGCACUUGGGAAAAGACAUCAAGCUUUAGGUCGUGUCAAGUUUUUGGCGCCGUUGCCGGGGAGGUAAAUUCUUGUAUAAAUUAUAAUUUUUAUUUCUUUUUAUUUUUUUCAUUUUAUUUAAUUUUGUUUCUUUUCUUUUCUUGCUUUUAUUCUCUUUUUACACGUGCAUGAGAGUUUGGUCACGUAUAUUAAGUGGUCGACUUUGUAGGGUAUCCUCAUCAUUUUUAGAAAAUAUGGCUGAAGAAGAUAAUCAAUCGCUUCAUAAUGAGAAUAAUGAGAAUAACCGUAUGAGAACACUUAGAAAUCACAUGAAUCCCACAAGAACAAGUGCACCCUCAUGCAUAGUUUUCCCUUUCCUUUCCUGGUAUGAUACAAGCAUGAGGCUAGUAGAAUGCAAGGACAAGUGUCUAAAAAACUACAAUUGCACGGCAUAUGCAAAUUCAAAUAUCACAGGAGAAGGCAGUGGCUGCAUACUCUGGUUCGGUGAAUUGGCUGAUAUGAGAGAGUUUAGUUAUGGGGGCCAAGACCUCUACAUAAGGAUGCCACCACCUUUGAAAACAGGUAUUUUUCAAUAUUCUUCCCAUGAUUCUCAAGCAGGGUAUUUUUUUUCACUCUUUCUCUCUGUUUCUUUGUUUUUUUUUUUGAAAUGAGGAAGUUGUAUGUUCCUUGAAUGUUUUCCUAACUUCGUGUCCUCAUUUCCUCAUUCUAUUUACAAAUAAAACAGAACUCCUUUCUGUGUUUAUUGUGGGUUUUCAGAUCAGGCGACGUCAAACACAAAUUCUGGUAAGAAGAAGCUUUCAGGAAUCAUACUCGGUUCCACACUCCUUGCUGGAGUGCUUAUGGUAGGACUAAUCUUCUAUAUAUGGAGAAAGAAGCAGAAAAAGCAAGGUAGUGUACUGUGGACAAUUCUUCUUAUUCCAGAACAUGGACCUUGUUGAUAUAUAUAGUAUGCAUGGUAGAAUUUUAUGUUAGUCAUCGAUAACAAAAUGAAGCAUUUGUUAGAUCAUUGCUGACAACUGAUCAAUCUUCUGCUAUUCAGAAAUAGAGGAAGACAUGGAGUUGCCAUCGUUUCAUUUGGCCACCAUAGUGAAAGCAACGGAUAACUUUUCAAGCAACAACAAGUUGGGACAAGGUGGUUUUGGACCGGUAUAUAAGGUAUAUAACAACGUGCUUCAAAGCUGAGAGAUCAUCUACUAUGAGAUAUUCUAACUUCAGUAAAUAACGAUUCCCAGGGUACAUUGAUUGAUGGGCAAGAAAUAGCAGUGAAAAGACUCUCAAAAAGUUCUCGGCAAGGAUUGACAGAGUUCAAGAAUGAAGUUAUCUUGAUAGCUAAGCUUCAGCACAGAAAUCUUGUUAAACUUCUUGGCUGUUGCAUUCAAGGAGAUGAAGUAAUGUUGAUCUAUGAAUUCAUGCCCAACAAAAGCCUAGAUUGUUUUAUUUUCGGUUUGUACCCCAUGAACUGGUUAGAGUUUCUUGCAGUUAGAUUGCUUGUUCUAUGAUGUUUCAUUUAUACAUCAGAAUAACAUAACAUUAUGAUAAAUUGAUUAGAUCAAACAAGAAACAAAUUCCUGGACUGGCAGAGACGUAACCUCAUUAUCGGUGGCAUUGCUAGAGGACUACUUUAUCUUCAUCAAGACUCUAGACUAAGGAUUAUCCAUAGAGAUCUCAAAGCCAGCAACAUAUUAUUAGAUAAGGAUAUGAACCCCAAAAUUUCAGAUUUUGGAAUGGCUAGACUGUUUGGAGGAGACCAAAUUGAAGCAAACACAAAUAAAGUGGUCGGAACAUAGUAAGUACACUCUACACCUAUUUUGUUACAAUGUAUAAUCUCCGCACAUUUAAACUUUUUCUGAAAAUGUUUUUCCGCAGUGGAUACAUGUCCCCUGAGUACGUUGUUGAUGGGCGUUUCUCACUGAAAUCCGACGUCUUCAGCUUCGGUGGUUUAGUCUUGGAGAUAAUAAGUGGGAAGAAAAAUAGAGGAUUCUCCCACCCGGAUCAUUGCUAUAAUCUUCUUGGACAUGUAAGGAUAAAAUUAAACAUGUUAAUUUAAUUUAAUUAUGUAUUAACAAUUUUUCUCAUGACAAGUUUUUUGUUUUCCAGGCAUGGAAACUGUGGACGGAAGAGAGGGCAUUGGAGCUUCUUGAAAAUAUGUCAGAUCGCCCGUAUUCUGUAUCUGAAGUAUUGAGAUGCAUUCAUGUGGGUCUGCUAUGCUAUGGUUUUGAUGUUGGGCAGUGAGAAUUCAUUGCCUGACCCAAAGCAACCUGGUUUUUUCACGGAAAGGAAUAUGCCCGCAGUGGAGUACUCUUCAUCAGGAAAUCAUGAAUCAUCAUCUAUAAAUGACCUAACUAUUUCAGAGCUAGAUGCACUGUAGAAGAUUGGCUCUGAUGGUUAAAAGGAAGAGCAUAUAUAUAUAUAUAUAUAUAUAUAUAUAUUUCUAGCCAAAUCCAAGGCAUAUAACAGAAGUUAAAUAUUUUCUGCUAUAAUUAUGUUGAUGUAUUAUUUUUACCUGUCUACAAGUCCUCUGCAAGUACUGUUGCGAAUACAGAUAUACAGAAUGCUUGAGGAUUCACAUCUCUGGACUGCACAAUAUCUGUACUUGUUUGCUUCGAGCCAACGAAUUUAAUGCACGGAUCUGGGUUCAAGAUCUAUAUAUGCUAGAGCCUCACUGGCUUCUAACCCAAAAAGAAUCCAUUAGAACUUCUUACUAGAUUUAUAUGUACAAUUCAAUAAUUCUUUUGUAUUGAAAAGUUUUAUAUUAUAUUUUUCUCUCACAUUUUAUUUAAAUCACUCAUUGAUUAUAAUGUUGUUGACUUUCUUUGUUAGAUUCUAAUGUAAUUUAAUUUUUUGGCUAGAAUUGUCAAUAUAUAAUUAGUAAAAAAAAAAUUACAUACAAUUUAAACAAUCCAAAUUUAUAAUUCAAAUUUACAUUAUAUUUUUCAUGACAUGUUAAAAAAAUAUAUUUGUAACAACCAUACAAGGAACUAUAGUUUUUCCUUGAUUGAUUUCAUAGCACCUUAAACUUAGCCUUGACCUAACCCUUUUAGGGAUAAAUAUUAUAGGUACGAGUACCUUGAUGAUACUUAGCCUUGACCUAACAAAUUUUCAUAUCAUAAUUCCAAAAUUUUGAAAAUAAAAAUAAAAUGCAAAAACUAAAAUAGAAAAUCAAAAAUAAAAUGAUAUCAAAAAACCCUUCUAACUUUUCUUUUUUAUGUAAGGGUUGAAUUAUAUUAACUCAAUUAACCCAUCUUUCUAAAUUAAGUUAUAUAUUUUUUAAUAAUUUAUGUAUUUUAUCUCAAAUAGAUAAAACAUUAAAAAUAGAAGAGUUAUUAUGGAUCCCACAAAAUAAUAGCUGUAAAGCAUAUAUAGCUUGAUAUUAUGACAAAAAGAUGUCAUAUUGACGUUUUAAUUAACUUAUUAUGUUAUAAUGGAGGAACCUUUACAAAAUAAAAUAAAGAGAAGAGGGAUUUAAUCAAUAUUAAAAUAUAAAAAGAGUAGUUGCUAUAAAAAUAAAUAAAUUGAAGAGUACAAAGAUGAAAUAUGAGUGGAACCUGCUAUUUAAUAUGAAUUUUAUGGUUUCGUCCAAACUGGCCACAACAAUCAUAUGGUUUCGUUCAAAGUUCAAACUCGUGUAUGGAUGGGCUUCAAAUGAAAGCCUCUUAUGGAUUUUGGAAAAAGAAUAAUUUAUACUAGGAAAUAGGCCAAGAAAUCAAGGAUGGAAAAACGAGAGAGAAGAAAUCUAUGACAUAGUAUACAACUUGGAGAAAUAUUAUCAAAAUUAAAGGUUCAAGAUGUUGAUAGAAUCGGUAUUUAUUAUAGACGUGAAAAAAUACGAUUAAUGUUUGUUUUUAGUUUAAUUUAGUCUUUGCUUUGUUUUAUUUUGCAUGUUUUAGGGCUUUAGUUGUAUUUGUAUGCUUUUUUUUUGUCAUUAAAGGACUGCUAAAAAAAAAAAUAUUGUAAUUGGAAAAACAUCUAUCUGUAGAUGCAAAACGAUAGAAAUAUCUAUGAUAGUUUGCCAUCUUGAAAAAUGGCAAGUAAUGUGAUCAAUAUGCUACGGCAAUUAUGUAAAGCAAAGAGAAAGAAAUUACACUUAAUUUGUUUUUUGUAAAAAAAAAAAAAAAAAAAAACCUUUGAAUGACAUUACACUUUAAACUUUUAAAAAGUCUUUUAUGAAAAAACUUAUAUAUAUAAAAAAACACCCUUCACCAAAUUUGUCCAAGGCGGGUUAAGGGUAAGCUUCCACCAACCUUUGCUAGCAUUUAAUAAUUGCAAGAAAAUGUUCCCUCUUGACUUUGCCGUCCCGCUGGGGACGUAACAUUGUACUAAGAAUUUAUCAGGAUCCAAUGUAUCCAAAGCUCGAAGGUCAUGGGAAGCUGAAACAUUGAUGAUAUGACCCCACGUAUCAUUAUGAUGAUGAACAAGAACUUCCAAUAGCAGACCACUGUUUUGAGCUGCAUGGGAUCAAUCCAAUCAAGCUAGGUGUAAUAUUAUGGUGCCAUUUUGCUUGUAAAUCCUGUUCUAGCCGGGAAAGUGGGUAUGUCCUGUACUAUUUUAAAAAACAAAAUAAGGUGAAGCGAAUUUUAUCCCUAAGAGGAGGAUCUCGAAUCAUUUUGAAUUUGUUGUUCAAAUUUCAAUUAAGAUAUCCUAGGUUUACCCGUUUUCAAAUAAUAUUUUAGCGAUUCAAAAUAAGGUUGUUGAAAGUUACAUCAAUGGAGAGAGGGAUGUUAAGGCUAGGGUUGACGCAAUGAACGGUGAGAGUCGUUCAAGGAGUUGAACUUCAAACAUUUUACCUGAUGCUGCACACAUUUAUAGCUUAUGUACGCUGCCCAUAUGAGAGUCCCAAAUUGGACCCAUUCGUAGCGCUGUUUCUCUGUCAUUCGUCGACUGUAGUUAUCAAUGAACUAGCAAGCUUUAUUAGAGUUCUUGCAUGGCUGACAACAGAUAAGCAAGUUAGGCUCUUAAUGUUGGAUGUGUUUUUGGAUUUCUUGGGCUUUAGCCUAGCUGUUAAUGGCAUGUCUUUGUCAGGUGCCCUACUCAUGCGUAAUUUGGAGACCAUAUGAUAAUAUUUCCAGCAAUUUAUAGAAACUAGCUCCAAGUUCUCGAUCCGUUUUCAUAUUGACAAAGAGAAUGGCCGCACAAGUGCUAAGGGCUCAAGGUUAUCUUUCGUCCUUAAUUUGAUUCCCGACGGGGUUUGCUCACCUUUUUCUGAACACACUCUUCCUGACCUUCCAAUGGUGAACAAGUCAAAUCUUUGAUGGAGAUUUUAGCGAUUAAAUAAGGUUGUUGAAAGUUACAUGAAUGGAGAGAGGGAUGUUAAGGCUAGGGUUGACGCAAUGAACGGUGAGGAUUAGAUAAGGAGAAUGUGGAUGACUUGUGUUCUCUAGUCAAUUGAGGGUUGACAGGUGCAACGAAGGGUAUUAAACGGCAGCACUUAGGCUAUAGAGAAGAAGACUUGGUCCAAGAUCAUGCUAGAUCUUUACAACUUGACAGAAUCAGUCCAUUCCAAAUUCAAGUUUGAUGUUUGUUUUAUUUAUAGGACCAGGAAUAAAUCAUGAUAUUCUUAAAGCAUAACCAAAUUUAAAUACAUACCUACUGUUAUGUUUUUAUAUAUAUAUAUAUAUAAACAUAACAGUAGGUUUAGAUUGACUUUAAAUGAUAAAUAACAUUUUGUAGUUUUAUACCGACGGAAAAUACUCCGUCGGCGAUAUAGUGUAUGACCGACGAUCCAUAUCUGUCGGUAAAGUUGUCGGUGAGUGUUUGAAAUACCGACCGAAUAUAUCCAUCUGUAAAUUCGUCGGUACGUUUAGCAGCUACUGUCAAAUGCCGACGGAUUAAUUCUGUCAGUAACGCUGUCGGUGAGUAUGAAAUACCAACCAAAUGUAUCCGUCUGGAUAUUCAUUGGUGAUGGUGGCAGCUACUGUCAAAUGCCGACGGAUUUAGUCCGUCGGUAAAUCCCUUUGUAAUUGUUUUUUUUUUAAUUUUGUUUUUUAAAAAUUAUUUAGAAUACAUAAUAUAAAAUAAUAUAAAUUAAUGGUAAUAAAAACCAAUUAUGGAAAUAAAAUUUAUAUUAAGCAUCAAAAACAAAAAAUCAAAGUUAAAUAAUAUUCAUUACAAAAUGAAUGUGUUUCAAAAAAACAUUAAACGAAAUUUUAAAUGUAAAUAAUGUUUAUUAAAAAUUAAUAUAAAAGGUGGAGCUGGAGGAGGAGGAGGAGGCUGGCGGUCAUACGGCCAAAAAGGAUUAGGCGCACAUGUUCCACCUUGUGCCAUGUUCAUGACCAUUUCACGAAGCUCUUCAUAGGCCGCUCUUUGUUGUUCAGACUCCGCUCUGUGUUGCUCUUUGAGUUGUUCGUACACCACUCUUUGUUGUUCUUUGAGUUGUGUGUAUGCCUCUGAUAGGUGGUCAUACUUUUCGGUGAGCUGAGCCGUGUGUUGCUGUAAGGCCACAAACUACUUAGAUUGGGAGCUCCUGACGGUUGAAGCACCACUGGCCUACCGCAAGUUGUCGGUCGUAGUGUUGGAGAGCCCAUAAACCUGAUUUUUAUCAAGUCCACCUAACGAUCCAGCCUCCAUCCACAAAUCCAGAUCGAAUUCUGAAUGGGUCAAAGGAUCGUCCCCGUAUCUCUCCCUCAACCGCUUAUUAUAGGUGUCCUGAAAAUAAAAAAAGUAAUCAUCAUAUUCAAUUCAAUAAACAUAAUAAUAACUUACAAAAUAAAAUGGUUGAACAAACAUACCAUAAAAUGUUGAGCAUGGCUGUCAACGAGCUGUUGCGCCCCCUUUUGGCGGUCUUGACUCCGCACGUGCAUCUCCACAAACAGCUCCAUCGGGCUCGGCUCACGUCCAAGACACGUAGCCUAUAAUGAAAAAAAAUUAUUAACAGCAAAUUAAUUGAAUGAUAUAUUUCAUUUAAAUUAAUCUUACCAUUCGUUUCGUAUGUGCAACAAACGGAACGGAGUCGCCGGUGUGCGUUGUCACCGAGCCAUGAAUUGGCCGAUUCGGGUUGCCAGCACCGGACUGUGAGCGUCGUGUGAACCGCUCAGACAUCACGUGCUGAAGAUAGUGCGGCCAUAUAUCUUCCUGGAUGUAUAUCGGUUUGAAAUCCCUCCAAACCGCAACAUCGUUCCAGCCUUGGAACCCCUUCUUCCUCGCAUUGUUUUUUGCUUUUUUUUUAGCUUCGUACCAAAAAUCACGCAACCUACUUCACGCAAGCAAAAAUUACAUUUCGAAACAUAAAUUUUUUUGUAAAAAAAAAAAGUUGUAUUGUUUUCGAUGUUACCUAGUUGCCGCGUGAUUUUCCCAAACCCUCCUCACAACAGUGUUAUGUUCAUCGUCCCAGCAGAAUCGGUUCUGUGUAUAAAAAAUUAAUUUUUUAAAAUGUUAAUAAUUUAUUUACAAUUAUAUUAAGAAUUUAUUAGAAAUAAACUGAAAAUUAUAUAUUAACACGAACCUGAAAUCUAGAAAACCAUGCAUUGAUUUGAGGCAUUCAUUCAGGAUGCCUCGAUAUCUAACUCUAUUGAAACAAUGGAAUCUCCAUCGACGAUUUAAACGCCGAUGAUAUUACUCGGGCAGCCUCAAUGUUUGUGAACUUGAAAAGAAAUGAAAUUAAGGAAAUAGUGACUAUUUCAUAAAUUAUGUUUUAAAUUUGUUUAAAAAAACAACACAAAAACCUUAACAAACCUACAUUGAAAGAUCGUCUUUCCAUUGUGCCUCGUACUUGUGGGUAAAUUGAUUCCGCUACGAAGGCACGCCGCUUAUGCGCUGUGAAACAGCGCUGGAAGAGGCAGCAUCGAUUGACGGCGCAGGUGGUGUAGGUGCCUCUUCUUGAGAGGCACCUAAGGAAAUAUCAUCCUCGCUGCUAGACGAACUUGAUUCGACCGGACGUGAACGACCAGCCCUGGUUUUCAUUUUGCGCAUCUACUCAAUUUUAUAUACAUAAUUAUAUAAUUAAAUGUAAAUGUUAAAAAAAAUUCGACAGCACCUCCCCUAUACUGGAUACUACCCAAAUCCACAAACUUACAAAUAUUAACAAUAGCCACAACCAAUUGACCCAAUCUAUUGACCCAAUCUAUACUAAUUAUUUUAACAUAUUCAAUUACUAAUCCUAAGGUAAAUUCAACAUUAACAAUUACAAUUCAACAAAUUAUUCAAUAAUUAUGCCAAUACAACAAAACAAUAAAUUCAAAAUAAAUAGAAACAAUUAAACACAAAUCAUGCAAUAAUAGAGUAAAAUUAAUAAUUCUUCCAACAUAUUCAAUUACUAAUUCUAAGGUAAAUUCAACAUUAACAAUAUUAAUUCAACAAAUUAUUCUAUAAUUAUGCCAAUACAACAAUAAAAUAUAUUCAAUAAAUGAAAAAAGAAUUAUAGCCUAACAAUUAAAAUCAAUGGAAACAAUUAAACACAAAUCAUGCAAUAAUAUAGAAAAAUUACUAAUUAUUCCAACAUAUCCAAUUACUAAUUCUAAGGUAAAUUCAACAUUAACAACAAAUAAUCAACAAAUUAACUAAUAACAAUUAUGCCAAUACAACAAUAAAAUAUAUUCAAUAAAUUAAAAAAAAAUUAUAAACUAACAAUUAAAAACAAUGGAAAUAAUUAAACACAAAUCAUGCAAUAAUAUAGUAAAAUUAAUAAUUAUUCCAACAUAUGCAAUUACUAAUUCUAAGGUAAAUUCAACAUUAACAACAAAUAUUCAACAAAUUAACUAAUAACAAUUAUGCCAAUACAACAAUAAAAUAUAUUCAAUAAAUUAAAAAAAAACUAUAGACUUUAGGGAAGAAAUAUGCAUACCUUAAUAAUUUGUUGAAACAAAAACUUUAUCUACAUUACAAAAAAAUACACCAAAACAAAAAAACAUAAAAAUAAUAAAAUAACGAAAAAUAAAAUAAAAUGAAAUAGGAAAAAACACAUACCUUUUAAUGUGAUGGAGAUUCACAACAAAGCUUGCUAGAGAUUCUAGGUGAAAGACUUGAAGAUUUGAGAGGAAACAAAUCAAAAUUCUAAGGUGAGAAACGGAGGAGAAGAAAAAAAGAACUAAAGGGGCGGACGCAAGAACUUAUAGGGCAGUUUUACCGACGGAAAUAAAAAUUAUUAUUAUUUAAAUUAAAUUCGUCGGUAACGUGUUAAAAAUCCGUCGGCAAUUUUUGAAUUUCGCGGUUCGUCGGUAUGCUGACUCGGUUAGAGGUUCAUUCAAUGCAGACCCUUUGGAAUUCGCACAUUCCGUCAGUAUUUUUGUCGGUAAGAUUUUCCCACCGACAAAUUACUGACGGCCAUAAUUACGUCGGUGAGGUCGUCGGUGAUUGUGGCGUUUCGCGUAAUUAUUGACGAACACUUUGUGAGAUGCCGACGGACUUUAGUCCGUCUAAAGUCCGUCGGUGAAUCCGUCAAUAUGGGCGUCGGUGAUUGUGGCAUUUCGCGUAAUUAUUUUCGAACUCUCUGUGAGAUACCGACGGAUAUAAUUACGUCGGUGAGGUCGUCGAUGAUUGUGGCAUUUCACGUAAUUAUUUUUUAAAUCUAUGUGAGAUGCCGAUGGACGUGAGUCCGUCGGUGUGUGUGUCGGUGAAUCUGUCGGUACGACGUCGGUGAUUGUGGCAUUUCACGUAAUUAUUUUCGAACUCUCUGUGAGAUGCCGACGGAUGUUAUUCCGUCGGUAUGGACGUCGGGAAGUUUGCAUUUUACAGGAAAAGUUGUAUUUGUAUUGCCUAUUUACCUUUCUACAAAAACUUAACUGAUAAACUGUCCAUCGCAUAAAACAAUAACAACAGUGCUUAAGCAAUAAAUAUUUUGUGUUACAAAAUAUAUCAUCCAUAAUCUAAAUUACAUGAAAAAAAAGGGUUUUACAUAGGGCUUCAUUUUGAUAGUUAGUCGGAAUUUUCUUCUUCUUCCUCAUCAAUUGAAUUGUCAUCACCUUCAUCGCAAUCUUUAAUAUGGAUAUCAUCUUCUUCAUUGACAUUUGCUUGUCCGCUAGAGCUCAGAACAACAUUCAACUCCUCUGCAUCAAUAUCAACAAGACUAUCAUCGAAAACAUGAAAAUUUGAAUUUUCUUCCAAUUCAAUCGAAGGAGCAACUCGAUAUGGUUCAACCAACUCACUAACUUGAAAGACUUCAUCUCGCACACUUGUGUCUUCGUUCUCAUCCUGAACAACCUCGACAUGACCCCGUGGUUUUGUUUUUAAAAUGGACAACCAAUUAACUCUUGAUCGAUCCUUUCUAAAUGAAAGGGUGUAUGUGUAAUAAACUUGUUGACAUUGCUUUGCGAAAACAAAGACAUUGUUUAUGUUGCGAAGUCUAGCUUUUGAGUUGAUUUCGACCAGACCAUAGUGUUGUAACCCAUUUUUGGGUCCCCACAUAAAAAAUAAUAAAAUACAAAAAAAUUCAAAAAAUUCAAAAAAAUAUAUUAUCAAAAAAUAUAACAGUGAAAAAAUGCCAGAGCGCCCUAAAAAUGCUCAAAAAUUGAUUGAGGAUGUUCAAAAAUCAAAAAUUAAUUUUUGACAGUAUAUCAUUGACUGAUGAGAGCCCCGAUGAUAAAGAAAAUUCAAUUUGUGGAAGAAAAAUGCAAAAUCAGAAGUUUAUGGACUCAAUUAAAUUUUAUUAAAGGUUUAAUUGCAUUUAUGAAGGUUUUAAUUGCAAAAACAAUUGAUUUUGGAGUUAUUUUGGGCUUUAAUUGGAAGAAAUUAAUUUUCUGGGGUCAAAUUAUAAUUUUCUUUCCCGUUUUUCGCGCAAUAAGACGCCCGCAAUCACCCACUUGUAUCCUCCUUUUUAUCCUUCUGAGUUGAUAGUAGAGGGGCGGCCGACAGUGGCCGCCCCACCACGACACCGCCCCCCUAUUUUUGCCUAUAAAAACAGGGGAGGGGCACCGAGAAAAAAAAAAACAAAGAACAAAAGGGAGAGGGAGACAAACCGAGAUAGAAGAGAAGAGAAGAGAGAGGGCAGAGAAGAAGAAGAAGGAGAAGAAGCAGCAGGGAAGAAAACGAAGAAAAACAGAAGAGAGAGAGAGAGAGAGAGAACCACCGCCGGCCUCCGCCACCGUGCCUACGCCGCCAGCAGCACCGCCACGACGUCACCGCAGGUAAUCUCUCGCCGCCCUGUCGCCUUCUCUGUUUGCUGCCUCCCUCAUUUGCAUGCAGAACAUGAAUAAAUUCACGUUCUGCAGCUGAAGAGGGCUGGUUACUGUGCUUAGGCACAGUAACCAGCCCAUUUGGUAAUGGGCCGGGUUGGCCCAUAUCAAUGGGCUGGGCCGGACCCGGCCCAUUUCAAUUUAUUUUUUUCUCAGAAGUUUUUUACAAUUUUUUUGGCACAUUUUUUUUUAUCAAUUUUGCUUAAUAUCGGUCUGUAUUUUACAUCGUAAAAAUAUAAAUUCGGUAUUAAAAUACUCGGUUUUCAUACGGUACUGUUCACACAACAACAAAAAAUCAAAAAUAUUUGUUUCAGCAUUUUAUAAUUUUUCCACGUAGUUUUUUAUGUCAUUUUGAUUAAUAUCGGGCAGUAUUUUUACAUCGUAAAAAUAUAAAUCCGGUAUUAAAAUACCCGGUUUUCGGCAAAAACUUCAAAAAAUAAAAAAAAUUGAAAAAAGAUAAAAAAAUGUUUUUGUGCAUACGGCCAAGUGUCUCAAAUCUAAAAUAUCAUAUUGUAUUUUUCAUAUGUCAAAAAACAAUAUUUUAGCAUGCAUUUUGGCUUUAAUAACCAGUUUAUUAAAGUCAAGAGAACAUUGGCCAAAAUCUCAAAAACAACAAAUAUUUUAUUUUGUUUGAUUUUAGUAUCAGGGAUUAUGAAUUUAUACGUAAAUCGUAUUCCUGAUAUUAAAAAGAUAUUUUCUUUUGACGGCUUCGAAUAGUUAGUUUUUUACCCGAUAAAGAUAAGGAUCUCCUUACAGGAGGACUUUUCUUAAACCGUAAACGAACCAACAAUUCAAAAACCACAACACGAUUUUAGAUUUUAUCAGACAUUAAAACAAUGCAGCCUACCUUAGGUAGGGCGUAGUUGGGGUGCUAAUACCUUCCCUUUACGCAACCAGUCUCCGUACCCGAUCUCUAAAGACCGAUUAAGGUUCCUAGUAACCAAAACACUAGGUGGCGACUCCCAUUCCAAUUUUUCACUUGUAGAGACAAGAAUUCCUUGUCUCUCCCUUUUUUCCAGGAAUAAAUAUUCCAAUUUUUCCUUGAGGGUGGACGAUCGCCGCGCCGCCGCACACGUGCGACACAUAGUGCGGAUGAACUCUGAUUCCUCUGUCUGUCGUGUCAUACCAAUAGUAUUUGAAUAAAAACACUUUAUUCUGCUCGCUAUGAUAUUGCAGUUCGAUGACCUCAUCUAAUCUACCAUAGUAGUCAACUUCUAACUCACUACUUGUGGAUUCCUUAACACAAACACCGUAGUUGUAUGUCUUUCUUCCUUGCCCGUAUUCUUCAGUUUGGAAAGCAUAUCCAUUGACAAAAUACCCGUUGUAGCACUUAACUUUUCUUUCAGGCCCAAGGCUUAGUGAAGACAAUGACUUAGGCACACUCAUUCCCAUUUGAUAAACCUUAUAUAUAUGUAAUGUACAUCAAUAAACAGUAAAUGAACGAGAAUCUCGUAAUGACAUGCAUACGUACAGUAAUUUUGCAAGUUAGAAUGAGUUUGUGAUAAUGCUUACAUGUGUUCUGAACCAUGUGGCAAAUUGUUCAUCUUCUAAUUGAAAGAUCUGGGAUUCGGUCAGCUGCGAGUUAUUGGAGAGCAAAUAUUAUCGAUGUUGCCUGCAAGUGAUAAUGAGUGUAUGAUAUUACAAUAUAUAAUUAGCAGUAUAUAACUGACAAAGUUUAAUUAGUAUUACACAUAUAUAAACUUACUAAAUAAAUGGUCUCAACUCAUCACAGUUAAAUAGAACAUAGUUGUGUACUUGUUUGAAUUAUAUUUCCGACAAAUAUCUUCCUUUUAUGAUAUUUUUAGGUGUGGGUCGUCCAGUAUUGGAGAAUAUUGACAAGUUUCCACUAGAAGGCACUUCACCGCCAUCAUCAUGCCGUGGAACGCGAUUGAUUCUUAUUCUCAGAUGAAGUUUGAAAUAGUAUGAGAUAAAUGUUGAGAUCUCCUCAACAAUAUAGGCCUCAGAUAUCGAAGCCUUAACAUGCGCCUUGUUCUUAACCUUUUUCUUGAGAUUAAACAAGUACCUGCAUUGAAUUACAAUUCAAGUAUUUUCAAUUAAGAAAAACAUAGAAAAUACUUUUAUAUAUGAAUUCCAUUGCAACUGUAAUAUCUAACCGUUCGAAUGGGUACAUCCAUCUAUACUGGACCGGUCCUCCAGCUUUUGCCUCGAACGGUAGAUGUAUACGGAGAUGCUCCAUUGAGUCAAAAAAUGAAGGAGGAAAUAUCAUCUCAAGUUUGCAUAGUGUCUCGACGAUAUUCAUUUGAAGCCUCUUAAUGUGCUCAACAUUCAACUUGCUGGAGCAUAUAUCUCUGAAGAAAUGACUGAUCUUCGUCAGUGCAUCCCAUAUUCCCUUUGGCAACAAAUCACGAAAAGCUAAUAGGAUGAGUGUUUACAUAAACACGUGGCAGUCAUGACUCUUCAUUCCAUACAAUCUGCAGUCCUUUAUGUUAACAAGCCUUGAUAUGUUCGAUGCAUGUCCAUCCGGAAAACGCAGACUCUUAAGCCUUUUGUAAACUAGCAGUUGUGCGUUUUUCUCUAACACGAAGCUUGCCUUUGCUUUUGCGACUCGUGACUGCUCAUAAACCAACUCCAUAUUUUUACGGUUAUAGUAUAAAUCUAUAUCCAAUCUAGCCUUGAUGUUGUCCUUUGUCUUCCCCUUCACAUCCAUGACUGUGUUGAAAAUAUUCUCAAACACGUUUUUUUCGAUGUGCAUGACGUCAAGGUUAUGGCUAAGAAGAUUGGUCUUCCAAUAAGGAAGCUACCAAAAGAUACUUCGCUUUACCCAGUUAUGGGUCAAACCAAAACCAGGAAACUUUUGCUUACGUAAUUGAAGGCUAAAAACAAUGUCACCGUACUCUGAUACAACAUGGUGCAAUUCUUCACCAGAAAGACGCGGGGAUGCAACAUCUUUUUCAACUCUGCCAACAAAGAAAUCUUUUCUGUUCUCUCUGUACCUAUGAUUAAGUGGAAAGAAGCGACGAUGACAGUAAAAAAUAAAAGCUUUACCUCCGUUUGCUAGUGUGAAUGCCUUGUUGUUUUCCAUGCAGUAUGGACAUGCGAGUUUCCCAUGCGUGCUCCAACCAGAAAGAAUUCCAUAAGCUGGAAAAUCAUUGAUAGUCCACAUCAAAGCCGCCCUCAUAAUGAAAUUUUGUUUCCUCAAUAUAUCAUAAGUCAGAGCUUCGGAGGACCACAACUGCGCCAGCUCAUCAAUCAAUGGUCGAAGACAAACAUCUAUAUUCCGCCCCGAGCUGCUUGGACCGGGUAUGACAGUAGAUAAAAACAUGAACUUCAGCCUCAUACACAUUCCUGGUGGCAAGUUAUAAACUGUGAGUAUGACCGGCCAACAAGAACAGGAAGAAGCAAAUGACCCUACUGGGUUGAAUCCGUCUGUACACAACCCAAGAUGCACAUUCCUUGCCUCAGCUAAAAAGUGAGGAUGCACACUAUUAAAGCAUUUCCACGCUUCACCGUCAGAAGGAUGCACCAUCACACCAUCAACCAUAUCAUGUGCUUGGUGCCAUGUCAUGUGCUCAACAGUCCUUGGUGACAUGAAUAACCUCUGCAGUCUAGGUGUGAUCGGGAAGUAUAUAAGUUUUUUAUAUGCCACUAGAGUCUUUUCCCUGCUAGUUCUGAGUUUGUAACGGGAAUGCCCGCAUGUCAUGCACUCGGUCAUCUCAGCAUUUUCAAGGUAGUAUAACAUGCAGAAGUUAGGGCACAUGUCAAUUUUCUGGUAUCCUAAACCGAGGGGUUUCAUCAUGGACUUCGCAGUAUAGAAGUUCUCUUUCAGCCUGUUCCCUUUAGGUAAAAUGCUUCUCGCCUAUUCAAUAAUUUUGUCAUACCCGGCCUCACUAAACCCGUGAUCUGACUUUAUGGUGAACACCUGUGCCAUGGUCGAUAAUUUACUGUGGUUUGUGCAGCCAUCCCAUAAUGGUUCAUCAAAAUCUUUCAACAAAUCAAAAAAUCUACCUGCAUUUGUAUUAGGUUCUUUUUCUACGAUUGGACAUUGACUGACAUUACCUUGAUUCAUUCUCAUUGCAUCCAUAACCAUAUAUCUGUAAGGAUUAGUUUUGUCAUUUGCCACUUCAUGCACGUUGCUAGCACUAGAAGUUGACCCAAGCAUCGUUUCUCCCAUUCUCCUAUUACUAACAAAUACAUCUCCAUGUGCAUACCAACACUAGUAAUCCUCCAUAAACCCUUUGUGUAAAAGAUGCAUCAUUACAACAUCUAGAUACAGAUACUUUUUAUUUUGACACUUCCUGCAUGGACACCUAAUACCGCCUCCAAUAAAAUUUCUGGGAAUAGAUGUUGCGAAAUUAAUAAAACCCUGAACCCCGUUACAAUAAUCCAUCCUCCGCAAUCCUUGGGGUGAAUCUAGAUACAUCCAUGAACGAUCAUCUAUGACUUCUAUCGAACCUCUAUAAAAUUAUGAUGACAUCAUGUAUUAAUUAACUAAGUUAGGUAAAUAAACUUGCAAAAAUAUUACUUUACCUCGAGAUUAUCCAACAAACCAAUCACAACUUCUCAUAAAUAUUAAAUAUUCAUUAUCAUUUAUCAACGUCCAUACAAAUUAAUAUAUAUAAACUUAUGGAAAUUACCAAACCACAAUACCAUCGAUAAAACUUAAAAUGGACCCAUUAAGCAAGCUAUUAAUUAUUUCAAAACAGCACAUGUAAUUCGGUAAUUCCAUAAAGUUUUAACAAUUUACAAACAAAUACAAUCUUACAAAAUCUAAAACAAACCAUAACAGGUAUAAAAUUAUACAUUCAUAUACUACAAGUUUGUUUGAGAAAUAACAAUAAAAUAUGUACAUCUACUAACAAAAUACAUAUAAUAAAAAAAACAACAAAAUUGACAUUUAAAUGUUAAAAUUUAAAAAGAUAGAAUUACUUACAAAAAUUGAUAAAAUUCGUUAGCAAAUCAGAACACGGAUGUUGUGACCACAAAACUUCAAGAAAUAUAACUUGUUGUGCUGAGAUGAGGAAGAUUUUUGUUUGGGUGCUGGUUGUUUGCAGAUGGGGAGAGUUGGGAUUAGGAAGAAGAAGGAGAAAUAGGAGAGGAGAGGGUCGGCAGGUAGGGAAUUAUAUUAACUUUUUUCCGACGGUUUCACUGACGGAUUAUUUCGUCGAUGAGUCUGCGGCUUUUCUGACGGAAAAAUCGACACGUCACCUUACGGAUCUGCCAUUUCAAAUUCGUCGGUAUUUUUUACGGUGAACCAGUCACGUCACUGUACGGGCCUGCCAUUUUGAAUCUGUCGGUGAUUCCGUCGGAAAAAACCACCCUGCCAAAACUUCCACGUCAGCGACUGAUACUCUCUGAUAAAAGCAUAAGCCAAACUUGUGUAUAUAUAUUCCUCAUUAAUGUAUUACCUUAUAUGUGUAUAUUGAACGUUAUCUACUCAAUGAGUUGUUGAACUCAUCCUCUUGUUAUUUAUUAUUUUUAGGCUUAUAGCUUCGUUAAUAGGUCGCUUUUGUGGACUUUUAGAACAUGCUCUUUGUUGCAAUUAACAUUAUUUCGUUAUGUCUAGUUAGAGCUCUACAAUUACAUAAUUUGUAUUAACUUUAUUAUAAAGACAUUGAUUUACAUUAUUAUCAUUGUUCCGUUACUCUAAAUGAGUUAAUAGGAAGAGAAGUUUGUAUAUAUGAUUAGGUUUGCAUAGGUAAAGAACCUGGUGGAGGCCUUGUCUAUUUGUCGGUCAUGGAUCCAAGGUUCGGGUCAUGACAAUUAACUUCCUAAAAAAAGCAUGAUUUAUAAUCAAUUAUAUAUAAAAAAAGUGUUCUAUUAUUAAGACUCGUCUAAUUAGUUUUCAUUUACUAGAAAAUGCAAACUUUCUUUCUGCACUUUUUACCAGGUGAGGUGCUUCCGGUCUAAUAACCCGAGUUAUAGGUUUAGAAAGUUAACGCUGGUUAAUAAUUUUUUUCUACUUAUUUUCUUUUCUGAUUUCAUUAUUUGACAUUGAUUUUUUUUUAAUAGGCUUUAUAGUUUUUUUUGUUUUUUUUAAAUAAGAUUAUAUUAUUUUCAUAACCUGAACUAUAAAUUUAAUAUAUUAUCCUGGGUUAACUCAAUCCUUUUCCGACCGCGCGGUAGUGCAGGUGGGCAUUAGUGCAAUAGCUAUUUGAAGGUUUUUUUUUUUUUCCAACGGGUAAAGUUAUGUUAGAGUUAGUUUAUACAUUAACUGACGCUAAAUCUUAUAAAUCUUUUCUCGAGAGAUCUUAAAAACAUAUCCUCUGCAUCAAUCCUAGUAUAUUUAAUAAAUUUCAGUAAAUGUUUGUCUUAAAAUUUGGCGCAGAACAAAUAGUUAGAGUUGCUAUUUGAAGUGGUGAAAUGGUAAUAAUAAUAUGACAGACUUCUACUCUUUCUCCGUUGAUCAAUGAAUUAAUUCAUUCAUAAAAAAAGAUAAAUUCAUGUAGGUGCGAUAGAUCUAUGGGUCAACUUCAGUGAGCUGUUAAGGUUUUACUCCCUACCCUCACUUGUACUGCUGUUCAUACCAUAUAAGGCUAUUUCCACUACUCUACAAGCUUGAUAAUAAUGGAGAUCGCUAUGCGUACAGGCCUGAUUAAUUCAUUUACUAGCAUUACAAUGCUUUUGGUUUGCAUCUUCUUACUCUUUUUAUCAGUAGCCUUUGCUGCACAAGUCAGUAUCACUUCCAAUGAAUCCAUUAAAGAUGGCGGGAGCACUCUAGUUUCAGCAAAUGGAACUUUUGAACUGGGUUUUUUUAGCCCAGGAAAUUCAAUGAAUCGAUUUUUGGGAGUAUGGUACAAGAAUGAAGCUCAUAAAGAAGUUAUUUGGGUUGCCAAUAGAGAAAUUCCGCUUAAGGAUCGUUCUGGAUUUCUAAAUUUCACCCAGCAAGGAGUUUUGCUUCUUCUCAACGGAAACAACAAAAUAAUUUGGUCAUCCAACAAAACAACAAAUGUUGAGAGUCCAGUUGUGCAGCUAUUGGAUACAGGAAAUCUAGUUGUGAAAGAUGGGAAGGAUAAUAACUCCAUUUUAUGGCAGAGUUUUGAAUAUCCUUGUGAUACGUUUCUACCAGGAAUGGUGAUCGGAGGGGAUUCACAAACUGGUGUGGAUAGAAACCUGAGAUCAUGGAAGAGCGCAGACGAUCCUGGUCCAGGCCAAUUUUCAUAUGGGAUAGAUCGUCAGGGGUUUCCACAGCUAGUCAUCAGGAAUGGAACUUCGACGCACUGUAGGCUGGGUUCAUGGAAUGGAAUAAGUUUCAACUGGAUUCCUGAUCUGCCUGAUCUGUACUUGAAGUUUGAUUUUAUUUUGAACAAGACUCAUGUAGAUUAUAGUUAUGAAUUCCGGAGACCGGGUUCAUUGUUGACGAGGUUAAUUGUGAAUCAGUCAGGAUUCGUGGAACGCUUUGCACGUUCAAUUCAAGCUAAUGGUUGGACAAGUUCGUAUAAGGUACCAAGAGAUCUCUGUGACAAAUAUUCAGUAUGUGGUGCACAUAUGAUUUGCAAAAUGGUCGAUCAAUCCCACAAUUGUACUUGCUUGGAAGGAUUUGAACCCAAAUCUCUUACAGAUUGGAGUGAAGGGUGUGCUAGAAGGAGUCCAUUGAAUUGCACACAGGACAUCUUUCACAAUUUUAUAGGGCUUAAGUUGCCGGAUACAUCCCUUUCCUGGUAUGAUACAAGCAUGAGUCUAGUAGAAUGCAAGGACAAGUGUCUAAAAAACUGCAGUUGCACGGCAUAUGCAAAUUCAAAUAUCACAGGAGAAGGCAGUGGCUGCAUACUCUGGUUUGGUGAAUUGGUUGAUAUCAGAGAGUUCAGUCCAGGGGGCCAAGACCUCUACAUAAGGAUGCCACCACCUUUGAAAACAGGUAUUUAUCAAUAUUCUUCCCAUGAUUCUCAAGCAGGGUAUUUUUUUCACUCUUUCUCUCUGUUUCUUUUUUUCUUUUUCUUUUUUUGAAAUGAGGAAGUUGUAUGUUCCUUAAAUGUUUUCCUAACUUCGUGUCCUCAUUUCCUCAUUCUAUUUACAAAUAAAACAGAACUCCUUUCUGUGUUUAUUGUGGGUUUUCAGAUCAGACGACGUCCAACACAAAUUCUGGUAAGAAGAAGCUUUUAGGAAUCAUACUCGGUUCCACACUCCUUGCUGGAGUGCUUACGGUAGGACUAACCUUCUAUAUAUGGAGAAAGAAGCAGAGAAAGCAAGGUAGUGUACUUUGGACAAUUCUUCUUAUUCCAGAACAUGGACCUUGUUGAUAUAUAUAGUAUACAUGGUAGAUUACUAAUAUUGUAGAAUUUUAUGUUAGUCAUCGAUAACAAAAUGAAGCAUUUGUUAGAUCAUGUUGUUAGUCAAAUUAGCUUUGAUAAGGAGAAGCUGUUCGUUUAUCAAUCUUCUGCUAUUCAGAAAUAGAGGAAGACAUGGAGUUACCAUCGUUUCAUUUGGCCACCAUAGUGAAAGCAACGGAUAACUUUUCAAGCAACAACAAGUUGGGACAAGGUGGUUUUGGACCGGUAUAUAAGGUAUAUAACAACGUGCUUCAAAGCUGAGAGAUCAUCUACUAUGAGAUAUUCUAACUUCAGUAAAUAACGAUUCGCAGGGUACAUUGAUUGAUGGGCAAGAAAUAGCAGUGAAAAGACUUUCAAAAAGUUCUCGGCAAGGAUUGACAGAGUUCAAGAAUGAAGUUAUCUUGAUAGCUAAGCUUCAGCACAGAAAUCUUGUUAAACUUCUUGGCUGUUGCAUUCAAGGAGAUGAAGUCAUGUUGAUCUAUGAAUUCAUGCCCAACAAAAGCUUAGAUUAUUUUAUUUUCGGUUUGUACCCCAUGAACUGGUUAGAGUUUCUUGCAGUUAGAUUGCUUGUUCUAUGAUGUUUCAUUUAUACAUCAGAAUAACAUAACAUUAUGAUAAAUUGAUUAGAUCAAACAAGAAACAAAUUCCUGGACUGGCAGAGACGUAACCUCAUUAUCGGUGGCAUUGCUAGAGGACUACUUUAUCUUCAUCAAGACUCUAGACUAAGGAUUAUCCAUAGAGAUCUCAAAGCCAGCAACAUAUUAUUAGAUAAGGAUAUGCACCCCAAAAUUUCAGAUUUCGGAAUGGCUAGACUGUUUGGAGGAGACCAAAUUGAAGCAGACACAAAUAAAGUGGUCGGAACAUAGUAAGUACACUCUACACCUAUUUUGUUACAUUUAAACUUUUUCUGAUAAUGUUUUUCCGCAGUGGAUACAUGCCCCCUGAGUACGUUGUUGAUGGGCGUUUCUCACUGAAAUCCGACGUCUUCAGCUUCGGUGUUUUAGUCUUGGAGAUAAUAAGUGGGAAGAAAAAUAGAGGAUUCUCCCACCCGGAUCACUGCCAUAAUCUUCUUGGACAUGUAAGGAUAAAAUUAAACAUGUUAAUUUAAUUUAAUUAUGUAUUAACAAUUUUUAUCAUAACAAGUUUUUGUUUUCAAGGCAUGGAAACUGUGGACGGAAGAGAGGGCAUUGGAGCUUCUUGACAAUAUGUCAGAUCGCCCGUAUUCUGUAUCUGAAGUAUUGAGAUGCAUUCAUGUGGGUCUGCUAUGCGUGCAACAAAAGCCGGAAGACAGACCAAAUAUGUCAUCUGUGGUUUUGAUGUUGGGCAGUGAGAAUUCAUUGCCUGACCCAAAGCAACCUGGUUUUUUCACGGAAAGGAAUAUGCCCGCAGUGGACUCUUCAUCAGGAAAUCAUGAAUCAUCGUCUAUAAAUGACCUAACUAUUUCAGAGCUAGAUGCACGGUAGAAGAUUGGCUCUGAUGGUUAAAAGGAAGAGCUAUAUAUAUAUAUAUAUAUGUAUGUAUAUUCUAGCCAAAUCCAAGGCAUAUAACAGAAAUUAAAUAUUUUCUGCUAUAAUUAUGUUGAUGUAUUAUUUUUACCUGUCUACAAGUCCUCUGCAAGUACUAGUGCGAAUACAGAUAGACAGAAUGCUUGAGGAUUCACAUCUCUGGACUGCACAAUAUCUGUACUUGUUUGCUUCGAGCCGUCGAAUUUAAUGCACGGAUCUGGGUUCAAGAUCUAUAUAUGCUAGAGCCUCACUGGCUUCUAACCCAAAAAGAAUCCAUUAGAAUUGUCAAUAUAUAAUUAGUAAAAAAAAAUUACAUACAAUUUAAACAAUCCAAAUUUAUAAUUCAAAUUUACAUUAUAUUUUUCAUAACAUGUUAAAAAAAUAUAUUUUUAACAACCAUACAAGGAGCUAUAGUCUUUCCUUGAUUGAUUUCAUAGCACCUUAAACUUAGCCUUGACCUAACCCUUUUAGGGAUAAAUAUUAUAGGUACGAGUACCUUGAUGAUACUUAGCCUUUGUAGGGGAAUCCGACCGGUGAUGUUUUGAUAUUUGCUCAUAGUAGGCUAAGCACACUAACACAAUAUUUAACGUGGUUCAACAAACCGCCUACAUCCACGGGAGAAACCAUUUGAUUAUAUAGGGAGAGAACAAGAUUUACAACAGUAGAGGAGGAGGAAUCAUCCCCUCUUUGGCAACUCUCAACCUCACUCUAUUUGAUGUUGGGCAGUGAGAAUUCAUUGCCUGACCCAAAGCAACCUGGUUUUUUCACGGAAAGGAAUAUGCCCGCAGUGGACUCUUCAUCAGGAAAUCAUGAAUCAUCGUCUAUAAAUGACCUAACUAUUUCAGAGCUAGAUGCACGGUAGAAGAUUGGCUCUGAUGGUUAAAAGGAAGAGCUAUAUAUAUAUAUAUAUGUAUGUAUAUUCUAGCCAAAUCCAAGGCAUAUAACAGAAAUUAUAUAUUUUCUGCUAUAAUUAUGUUGAUGUAUUAUUUUUACCUGUCUACAAGUCCUCUGCAAGUACUGGUGCGAAUACAGAUACACAGAAUAAUGCUUGAGGAUUCACAUCUCUGGACUGCACAAUAUCUGUACUUGUUUGCUUCGAGCCAACGAAUUUAAUGCACGGAUCUGGGUUCAAGAUCUAUAUAUGCUAGAGGCUCACUGGCUUCUAACCAAAAAGAAUCCAUUAGAACUUUGGAUAGAUUUAUGUAUUUCCUACAAUUCAGUAAUUGUUUUAUAUUGAAAAAUUUUAUUCUGAGUCUAUUUAUUUUUUUAUGUUAUUAAUUUAUUGAUUUAUAUUAUCU